rnacentral:lncRNA from 1 species
GGGACAUAAGCCUUGACUAGGCUGGGUUAUUACUGAAGCUCUUUUUCUGCUCUAAGCCAGUUGUCUAAGACCGAGGUGUUUGCAAAUGCCCAAAUCUGAGCAAAAGGUCACAAGGCAUAAAACAACAAAAGAAAAAGAAAUGAGGAACAAAGUAAAUCUGCAGAAGUCAAACCUAGAGAAACAGACCUUUGUAUACUUGGCAUGGAAUUUAACAAAUGGUCUUAAAUAUGCUCAGUGAGGUAAACUAGAACACGGACAGACAACUAAAUCAGGAGAACGAUUUGUUGAACAAAAUGAGGAUAUUAAGAGAAAUAGAAAUUAUAAAAAACAAACUCUGGAGCUGAAAAAUAAAAUGACUGGAUUGAAAAAUUCAUGAGACAAAUUCAACAACAGACUUGAUCACACAGAACCAGUGAAUGUAAAGCCAGAGCACUUGAAAUUACUGAGAGCAGCAAAAAAGGAGGAAAGUGAACAGCCGACGGGACCCCAUCAAGCUGACCAAUAUACACACAUGGGGGCGGGCAGAAAGGGGGAGAGAGUAUUUGAAAACCAAAUGGCUGUAAACUUCCCAGAUUUGAAGAAAGACGUGAAAAUGUAAAUAUUUAAGGUUAAGUGAAUUCCAAGUAGGAUACACCAAAGACCCACAUGGACACAAACUGCCAGCAAAGUCUUGUUACAUAUAAUGUCUCCAUGGCAGCUGGAGAAAAAUCACUUAAAAAACCCUUAAGAAAGUACUGUAAUAGAUUUCAACAAUAAAGUAAAAGGAUUAUACACUGACAUGUAGAUAUUCAAACAGUAGAAAUACUGCCAGGCAUGGGGGCACACGUCUAAUCCUAACAGCUUGGGAGGCUGAGGCACUCGGCAGCUUAGUGAAAUCUGUCUUAAAACUUUAAAACAGGGUUGGAGAUGUAACUCAGUGGUGAAGCUACGUCUUGAGUUAAGUCCCUAGGGGGGAGGGGGAGGAGAUUAUACAUCAUUGCCAAGUGGGAUUUAAUUCUGGAAUGCAAGGAUGGUCAGAUGUGAAAAUCAGGGCUGGGGGUGUGGCUUAGUGGCAGAGUGCUUGCCUUACAUAUGUGAGGCACUGGGUUUGAUCUUCAGCAACACAUUUUUUAAAAAGUGAAGAUAUUGUGUCCAUGUAUAACUCUAAAAAAAUGAAAAUCAUUAGGUACAAUCUAAAGAAUGAGUAGUUGCAUUCCAUGUAUGUAUAACGUGUCAAACUCAUUCUGCUGUCAUGCAU